UACGGGGGGAGCAAGCGUUGUUCGGAUUUACUGGGCGUAAAGGGCGCGUAGGCGGCGCAACAAGUCACUUGUGAAAUCUCCGGGCUUAACCCGGAGCGGCCAAGUGAUACUGUCGUGCUAGAGUGCGGAAAGGGCUACUGGAAUUCUCGGUGUAGCGGUGAAAUGCGUAGAUAUCGAGAGGAACACCUGCGGCGAAGGCGGGUAGCUGGGCCGACACUGACGCUGAGGCGCGAAAGCGUGGGGAGCAAACAGG
rnacentral:rRNA from 1 species